GACGAACCACACAAACGUUAUUCGGAAUUACUGGGCUUAAAGGGUGCGUAGGCGGCGCAGAAAGUAGGGUGUGAAAUCCCUCGGCUCAACCGAGGAACUGCGCCCUAAACUACUGUGCUCGAGGGAGGUAGAGGUGAGCGGAACUUAGGGUGGAGCGGUGAAAUGCGUUGAUAUCCUAAGGAACACCGGUGGCGAAAGCGGCUCACUGGACCUCUUCUGACGCUGAGGCACGAAAGCGUGGGGGAGCGAACAGG
rnacentral:rRNA from 1 species